AGGAAAGAAAGCAAGAAAAGGGGCUCUGCUCUCUCGCCCCAGCUCUAAGCUAAUGACGCUCUAGGUUUCAUUAUUGGUCGCCAGUCUCUGAGAGAUCCCCUUUGUCACAGUAGGUCAGAGUGAGUCAUGGAUGGGGCUUUUUGUUGUUGUUGUUGGGGGUGGCAGAUAGCAUAAUUCCUCCUCUCUACUCAUGAGAAUAGUAUAAAAACAAAAUGAGAGUGUUACCAGGCUUAGCACAGCCUUUAAUCCCAGCACUCAAGAGACAGAGGCAGGCUCUGUGACCAGCCUGGUCUACAUAGACAGUUCUAGGUCAACCAAGACUACAUAGCAAGACCUUGUGUCAAAGAGGUCGUGUGUGUGUGUGUGGGGGGGGGGUGGUCUAGGAGGCACGCCUCCUACCUAGUCUUCCUUGUGUAUGUUUAGGGUAAAUCUGUCUGGGCAUCUCCUUGCCAGGAUCUCUGCACACCACACUAACCUCUGCCACCUGGAGUAACCACCUACACCCUUGCACAGGAACAAAUGUAGUGCUUAGGGACUGGGGCGGCCCGGGAGGAAGGGGCCUUCUCAUACAGUUACAGGAAAAGCCAGGCGAGGCGGGGCAAAGACCGCCAACAACCCGCCCCACCAGGGGAAGGGGUGGGUACCUGGGUGGGGUUUAGGUUUAGGAGAGGAUAUGACUGCAAGGCCAGGAAACUAAGGGGGAAAGUUCUGACUAAAAUAUACAUCAACAAAAGCCGGGUCCUCGCCCAAGCUUGGCGAUGCAUUGUGGGUAGCCACAAUACUGUGGCUCCUCUCUGGGGCUCAGCUGAGGGGACAAUUCGCUCCCAAGUGCAUGCUACUGACCUCAAUGGCCAUCUCCCUUCUGGAGGAAAGAUCCGGAACCAGCCUCUGACCUCCAAGACCUCCUGUCCAUCUGGUUGAAUAGACAGAAAGGAGUCCUCCUCAGCGUUCAGUGGACCCAGCUGCUCGGUUAAGGAGCUACCGUGGUGCCAGGGGUGGAACCAGGGUUGAGCCUGCGGUGAAGAGGUCCUGGGAGAGCCAUGGCAGGUGUCUGUGACAGGGUCCCUAAUUUCCUUUCCCCAUCUGAAGACCAAGCCCUGGGACCUGCCCUUGGCAGUGCAGUUGCUUUGAAUUGCACAGCUUGGGUGUUCUCUAGGCCCCAGUGUCCCCAGCCAUCAGUACAAUGGCUAAAAGAUGGUCUGGCAUUGGGCAAUGGAAGCCACUUCAGCCUCCAUCAAGACUUCUGGGUCAGUGACAACUUCUCGGAGAUUGUGUCCAGUGUUCUGGUGUUCAACUUGACCAAAGCUGAGGACUAUGGAACCUUCACUUGUUCUGCCUGGAACGUCAGCUCCCACUCCUUCACUCUCUGGCGAGCUGGCCCUGCCGGCCAUGUGGCUGCGGUGCUGGCUUCCCUCCUUGUCCUAGUGGUUCUGCUGCUGGUGGCCCUUCUCUAUGUUAAGUGUCGUCUGAACGUGCUGCUUUGGUACCAAGACACUUACGGGGAGGUAGAGAUGAAUGAUGGGAAGUUAUACGAUGCGUACGUGUCCUAUAGCGACCGCCCAGAGGACCGCAAAUUUGUAAAUUUUAUUCUGAAGCCUCAGUUGGAGCGGCGUCGGGGAUACAAGCUCUUCCUAGAGGACCGCGACCUCUUGCCGCGAGCGGAGCCCUCUGCCGACCUUUUGGUGAACCUGAGUCGCUGUCGGCGUCUCAUCGUGGUUCUUUCAGAUGCCUUCCUCAGACGUCCCUGGUGUAGCCAGAGCUUCCGGGAGGGACUGUGCCGCCUACUGGAGCUCACCCGCAGACCUAUCUUUAUCACCUUCGAGGGCCAGAGGCGUGAGCCCAUUCACCCUGCUCUCCGUCUCCUGCGCCAGCACCGCCACCUCGUGACCCUGCUGCUUUGGAAGCCUGGCUCCGUGACACCUUCCUCUGAUUUUUGGAAAGAGCUACAGUUGGCACUACCACGGAAGGUGCAAUACAGACCCGUGGAGGGAGACCCCCAAACCCGACUUCAGGAUGACAAAGAUCCCAUGCUAAUCGUGAGAGGACGUGCUGCCCAGGGCCGGGCCAUGGAGUCAGAGCUGGAUCCAGACCCUGAGGGAGACCUGGGUGUCCGUGGACCUGUCUUUGGGGAGCCACCAACUCCACUACACGAAAGCAAGGUCUCCAUAGGAGAGGGCCAUGCCAGUGAAAUGGAUGUCUCUGACCUUGGCUCUCGAAACUACAGUGCGCGAACAGACUUCUACUGCCUUGUGUCUGAGGAUGACGUGUAGCCCUUAUCCUAGCAGCCCAGAGCAUGAGAUCAUGGCGGCAGCUUCCAGGGUAGAGGCUUGUGUCCCUCUCCUGGUGACCUGCAUCCUGUACUGAGCCUCAUGCCCCAAGACCCCGUUGAUGGACUCUGUAAAACAUACCGCCCGGAAGUCACGGUGGAGCUUGCUGUACUGCCAGAGGUUGGCCAAGAGGCUGGAGGCUGCCCGGGAUGACUUCUCACUGUCAGGGCUGUGGGCAUUCCAAGAGGGUCAGGGUCAAGACUAGGAGGUAGGAUGGGUGUGUAUACCUUGGCCGUGUUGCUGUGGGCUGUUUGGUCCUUACCUAUCCCUCUUCUUUUUGAUGAAUACCAGUUUUCGGAGUCCAUCGAAGUAGAGCAGGUCUCGGGCAGCAAUAGGGCUGGCUACUACCAGGUUGUUGAGCACAGCUAUGAUGUUGACCAGCACCUCAGCCGGGGGACACUUCUCACCCACACUACCAGGAAGCUUCUCAAUCAGGUGGCUCACUACCUUUGUGGCUGAUAAGAGGUUAGGGUCAGUCUGCCAUAUUCUCUCCUGCCUUGGCGCCCAGAACCGCUGCCUCCCCUGGGGGCUGACACACACACACCUGCCCACUCCAUUCGACUUGCUAACCAGAAGCCAGCUCCUUGGGAGACAUGGGCUGUGUACUGGACCAGGGACAGAACUCACACAUCUCGUCCUUGUUCCGAGCAUUCCGAGACAGGUUUCGGAUGAGGCCAGUCAGUGAGCGCAGCUGGUUGUGGUCAGCGGUGCGAACGCGGUCCAGCAAGGGGUUCAGGAUGCGUUCCUGUUCCAGGGCCAGGCGGCUCAGUACACCUGCCCACUGCAGAGAAAGACAGGGAGCAUGGUGAAGCCCAGAAGCAGCCGGGCCAGCCCUAGCCAGCCCCGUUCAGGAUUGAGGCAGAAUCACUUCUUCAUUUCUUGACUACUACUUCAGCCUGCUCUGCCAAGUCAGGACCUGACCAGGUAACCCUUCUGCUCAGAAUGUCAGAACCCCCAAAUCCACACAGGGUCCCACUCCCCAGGCUGAGCAAGGGUUUUAUGCCUCACUUUUAGGGAUCCUUCCCCACAACAGACCAUGAAUUCCUAGGGUGUGGCUUUCAUGCGUGAGCCUGAGUGCUUAGCAUAAGACAGGAGUGGGGCCUGUCAGCCUACUGACCCUGCGGUCACCCGCGGUGAUAUUCUGUAGCGCUCCCGCAGCCGCCUCUGUCGUAUGCCGAUUUAGUUCACAGCGCUGCAGCAGUCGGUUGUACAACCCCACGAUCUGGGGGCUCCACAGCCACUCAAGGCCCUUGGGAUCCUUAGAUACUUCAGCAAAAGUGAGUGCAUCGGCUGUGAGAGGAAGCUAAGUGGGAGGGUACAGGAAUCAACCAGGGGGACAACUGAGGUCGGAGCAUCAGGCUGGUACUCCCUGUCCCUGGCCUCCCAGGCCUGGGCUCACCUCUCGCAGCCGCCGACUCUGGGGUGUAAAGCAGCCCACCACUUCACCAGGUGGUGCCCCCGCCAUGUCCCUGCGGCCGCGGCCUUCAAGCCGCUGCAGUGCUGAUGGUGGCAUCUCAUCAUAUAGGCGGUAGGACAAAUUCCUCAGCACACACACAGCAUUUUCCACACUCUGCAGGGAAGGAACAGAGGGUGAUCAGAGUGGGCCGAAGCCCCUGGGCCCCCUUGGCUCACCAGCUGCCCCUCACCUUGUCCUCACACUUGCCCACGUCCAGGGCAUGGUUGAUGUAGGUGACCAGAGCAUCCACUAGCCCAUGGCACUCACGCAUCUUCUGGCGAGUGGCCUGGGAGGCUGAGCUGAGGUUCCUGGGGAUGGAGGCAGAUCAGAGGUUCCCCAGGGAUACCAACACAGUCCCCUCAGGGAGCCUCGAAGUGCCACCUCAGGGAGCCUCAACCUGAAGCCUCUGUCCUGGAGGUGAAAUCAUCAGGCACUAACCGGUCUUUCCCUUCUGAGUUGGCACUGGCCCCUGUGCCCUUCUGUUCCUGGACCUUACCAGAUGCUUCUGGGCCUACCCUUCACAUACCCAUCCCCCAACUAACUCCUCAGUUUAGGAAGAUGGAUGUCAGGGCAAGAGACUUGAUUCAGUGAAUCAUAAGCCCCAGGGUGUUCUGCCCAUCCCACUCUUGCUUCGGCCCCUAAACUUUUCUCUGCCAUUUAUGUCUCCCAGUGGGCUUGGCUAACUGUUCUUGUCAACUGGGUGGUAAACGAACAUGCUUCUGCUCGAAGUUUCUCUAA